rnacentral:rRNA from 1 species
CCCCGCACAAGCAGCGGAGCGUGUGGUUUAAUUCGAUGUUACACGAAGAACCUUACCUGGCCUUGACAUCCAGAGAACUUUCCAGAGAUGGAUUGGUGCCUUCGGGAACUCUGAGACAGGUGCUGCAUGGCCGUCGUCAGCUCGUGUCGUGAGAUGUUGGGUUAAGUCCCGUAACGAGCGCAACCCCUAUCCCUGGUUGCUAGCAGGUAAUGCUGAGAACUCCAGGGAGACUGCCGGUGACAAACCGGAGGAAGGUGGGGAUGACGUCAGGUCAUCAUGGCCCUUACGGCCAGGGCUACACACGUGCUACAAUGGCGCGUACAGAGGGCUGCCAACUCGCGAGAGUGAGCCAAUCCCUUAAAACGCGUCGUAGUCCGGAUCGGAGUCUGCAACUCGACUCCGUGAAGUCGGAAUCGCUAGUAAUCGCGAAUCAGAAUGUCGCGGUGAAUACGUUCCCGGGCCUU